AAAGAGCCAGAGGUGUGGUGGCGACAGAAGUGGCGCCAAGUUGCAACGUAUCCUGGAGCCAUAGUGGCAAAUACACCUGCGAUAGGUUGACAAACAGACGUGUCGCCAUAUACAGAACGGCAACCUACAAGUUAAGAGAGAAAAGUCAUUCGAGCAUGUUGACAGCCCAAUGCCAAGGAGAAACUUGAUUGAAGUGGAAUUCCAACCUAUUCAAGACGUGACUGGCAUACCGUGAAAGCCAAAAACAUUUCAGCAGCAGUGGGAUUCAAAAAAGAAAUGUAACAAGAUGCCCCACAAUCGUUCCGAAAAUCAUACACAACUUACGUUGAGCUCUCUACGAUAAACUAGUAGUCGCGAAAUCCCUAAAUAUAACUAGAUCAAAGCCUUUUUCGAGAGCGUAACUUCGAGUCCAACUUGUUGGCGACCCCAAAAUUCGUUAAACAGAAGGUUUAUGCUCGUGGGAAUUGGCUCGUAUUCGUUCAGCAUCGACUGAGCAUUUAUAAAAUGAAGUGAUGUUGAGCUUUACCUGAUAGAAUUGUUUUUCUUUCAGCCAAUCAAACGCUUUCAUUGCGGAAGGGCUAUUCGGCUGGUUCAUACUGGAAUAGUACACCUGGUUGUGCUUAACCUCGUCCACGCCGCAGUGGAAAAAAAUUGAGAAAAGGGCGCCAAUGCCAACCGCAAUUAACACGACAUCCUAUUAGGAAAGAAUUCAUAGAACGUCAUCUUAUUUGACUUGCUAUGGAAUUACUAAAAUAAAAAAUAUCUAUAAUAAAAGAAAUAUUAACCCGAAAAUCUGUCGUAUCUUCCGGUCCAACUACUUGUUGUGAAGCUCCGGUAACACCCAGUGUCACCCACGUCAUAGCGUAAAUAGUAAUAUUAGAGGCAACCGUAAAUGCAUACCUAAAUCAAGAUCAAAGCGAAGGCAAGAUAUUUUUAGAAACCAUCAACAAUGAAACCAGAUUCAGUAAAAGCCAAAAUAAUGAUCUUUUAAUUGCCCUAUAACGAUGUAAAGCUACAAGAGGAGUCACAGAUACGAAGCACUACAACAGAGAAGAUGAAAGAAACUCAACUGAUAGGGUAUGCUUUCUGGACCUGCUAGCAUUAAAUUACUGAGGGGAAAAUUUGGAAGAUUCUGUUCCUAGUAUCAAAUGCUAUACGUUCUUUCCUUGUGGCCUUAUAAUUAUCCUUAAACUCGAGCUAGUGUUGCUUUUGAUCAAAUUACCUCCAACAAUGAUAAACACAAUAAGGUUUUUCUUUAUGGGUAUCUAACGCUACUGCCGAAUGCCAAAAGUAACAAAGCCAAGAAAGUAAAAUACCUCAGGGCAGUAAGUUCCGUUCGCGAACGCUCAUCAUGUGCUAGCACUGGUAUAAGUGACAGGUGAGAAACUUGGACGGCAGCCCAGCCAAACUGGAAGAUUACGAUAAAACCGGAGAAAUAAAUGACUUGAGCCCACUGCGAUGAAGUCGCACAGCCAACACAAGGCAUGAAAAUAAAUGGGAAGCUUGCCAGGAUGCACAUUGUUCC